rnacentral:lncRNA from 1 species
AUGUUCCUUUCCACAUCUUUUUAUUCCUAUUUUUUCUUGGAUAAAUACUCUAUAAAGAAUUCUCUCUCAAUGCUCUAUCUAAACUCUCUUUCUCAUUGACUUAUGAUAGUUUUGUUAUGGGAUAAAUUUAUAUGUUCUUUUUCUCAACUAUAUGUAUUUACUUUUUAUACGAAUUUAUAUGUUCUUUUUCUCAACUCUCUGAAUUUAUAUGUGGUUGUGGUGC